UUGAUUAUGUGCUCUUCUUCCAUGUCUUUGUCCAACGUUGGGAAAA
rnacentral:sRNA from 1 species